UCAAACUUGGUCAUUUAGAGGAAGUAAAAGUCGUAACAAGGUUUCCGUAGGUGAACCUGCGGAAGGAUCACUAGUGAUUAAACGGGAAGCGUCUUAACUGACCUUCUCACCCUUCACAUCCACAUACACCCUGUGAACUGUUUGGCUUCAACUCUCGAUGUUGGGCUCUCCUGUCGAUAGAUUAGCAAUAGUCUAGCGAUAAGAGAGUUUGGUCGAGAGCGGGAGUCAUCAUACAUAUACAUACACAAAGUCUAAUGAAUGUAAACGUUUUAUAUAAACAAAAUAAAACUUUCAACAACGGAUCUCUUGGUUCUCGCAUCGAUGAAGAACGCAGC
rnacentral:misc_RNA from 1 species